rnacentral:rRNA from 1 species
AACGAACGCUGGCGGCAGGCCUAACACAUGCAAGUCGAACGCACCGCAAGGUGAGUGGCGCACGGGUGAGUAACACGUGGGAAUGUACCCUUUGGUUCGGAAUAACGUUUGGAAACGAACGCUAAUACCGGAUGAGCCCUGCGGGGGAAAGAUUUAUCGCCAAAGGAGCAGCCCGCGUCUGAUUAGCUAGUUGGUGGGGUAAAGGCCUACCAAGGCGACGAUCAGUAGCUGGUCUGAGAGGAUGAUCAGCCACACUGGGACUGAGACACGGCCCAGACUCCUACGGGAGGCAGCAGUGGGGAAUAUUGGACAAUGGGCGCAAGCCUGAUCCAGCCAUGCCGCGUGAGUGAUGAAGGCCUUCGGUUGUAAGCUCUUUCGCACGCGACGAUGAUGACGGUAGCGUGAGAAGAAGCCCCGGCUAACUUCGUGCCAGCAGCCGCGGUAAU